ACCUAUCACAGGUAGGAGUGUCCCACCCGCCCCCCGACAUCAAGGACCUCAAGAUACGCAAGCAGGAGGACAGCUGGGACUGGCUGAACAACUAGAUCUGAUAAAGACAAACACCGAUGGAACCAGAUGGCCAAAUGAUCAUGAGAUUAGAUUAUUUCCACUCUCCCUGCACCCUGCUAGGUCCACAUAUUUAAUAUUACCCCAUAGUGUCCCUGCCAACAUAAGUGUACCUUGACACCAUUACCCCAUAGUACUACGCCGUAAUGGAUCAAGCCAUGAAAAUACCCGUAAUACUUUACAUUUACCGUGGAAAAUUUCAUGGUGAAACUUUAGAAAACUAUGUUGCUGAUGAAAAAAAAUCUGUCCGUUCGUUUAUGGUGCAUGCUUUCAAAUGUUGAUGUGUAUAGCUGUUAUUGAAAGAUAUAUUAUGUAUAGUAUAAGUUUUCUCGUAAAUGUAAUGUUGAGAUAAGACGUUAUUUACAUUAUGCCAUUUUAUAUUUUGUUCUGAAUGCAAAAAUAAUAUUUUAUUUGUGAAAAAUAUAUUUCAGUUGAAUUUUAAAAUUAUUUUCAAGCUCAAUAAUAUACACACUAUAUCUUAGAUCAUUUUAAACUUGAUUUGUUAAAACUAGGUUUUUUGGCGUGAGCAUUUAAAACACGAUAUAUUCCAUUAUUGUUGUGUAAUUAUUAUAAAAUUAAAAUAGUUAUUAUAAUUAUGUAUGUUUAACACAUUCACUGCCGGGAACCCACCUGGUGGGCGCUCGUGAACUUUGUUCAGAUGCCGGACAACCCGCUGGGCGGGUUGUUUUGUACGCAGCUAUAGACCGCCGGUUUCUGGGGUAGUGCGCCGUCUUUUGUCUGGCAGUGAAUGUUUAAGUUAACUGAAUCAACUUAGAAAAUAAUAUUUUUUUGGUGGCGUCAUGUUAAAAUAGUACAUUACGAUACAAGUGCGAAAAAUAGGAAAUUCGAAACAAGUGGCGAUAAAUUAAAACACGACCGAAGGGAGUGUUUUAAAUCGACGCGAGUUGCGAAUUACCUAUUCGCACAUGUAACGUACAACGUUUUACAGUACAUAUGGCCGUUUAAAUGUUCGACACAGUAACGUAAUAUGCUAAUUUUCGCACUAGUGCGAUAAAGUAGCACCAUAUGUACUGUAAACUAUAAUUUAUUUCUUCUCUUCGUAACCGCGCACUUUAUGCGGACAAUCAUCAUUUUAUGAACAGUGUAUAUACUUAAACCUUUUAUCUAUAUCAAUUACUAGGUAAAAUGUUAUUUAUAUUUCAAUUUAACCAUUGUAUACCUUUUAAGUUAUAUGUCAAAUAAAUAACCAAAUCUGUCAUAA